AGAGUUUGAUCAUGGCUCAGAUUGAACGCUGGCGGCAGGCCUAACACAUGCAAGUCGAACGGUAACAGGAAGAAGCUUGCUUCUUUGCUGACGAGUGGCGGACGGGUGAGUAAUGUCUGGGAAACUGCCUGAUGGAGGGGGAUAACUACUGGAAACGGUAGCUAAUACCGCAUAACGUCGCAAGACCAAAGAGGGGGACCUUCGGGCCUCUUGCCAUCGGAUGUGCCCAGAUGGGAUUAGCUAGUAGGUGGGGUAACGGCUCACCUAGGCGACGAUCCCUAGCUGGUCUGAGAGGAUGACCAGCCACACUGGAACUGAGACACGGUCCAGACUCCUACGGGAGGCAGCAGUGGGGAAUAUUGCACAAUGGGCGCAAGCCUGAUGCAGCUAUGCCGCGUGUAUGAAGAAGGCCUUCGGGUUGUAAAGUACUUUCAGCGGGGAGGAAGGGAGUAAAGUUAAUACCUUUGCUCAUUGACGUUACCCGCAGAAGAAGCACCGGCUAACUCCGUGCCAGCAGCCGCGGUAAUACGGAGGGUGCAAGCGUUAAUCGGAAUUACUGGGCGUAAAGCGCACGCAGGCGGUUUGUUAAGUCAGAUGUGAAAUCCCCGGGCUCAACCUGGGAACUGCAUCUGAUACUGGCAAGCUUGAGUCUCGUAGAGGGGGGUAGAAUUCCAGGUGUAGCGGUGAAAUGCGUAGAGAUCUGGAGGAAUACCGGUGGCGAAGGCGGCCCCCUGGACGAAGACUGACGCUCAGGUGCGAAAGCGUGGGGAGCAAACAGGAUUAGAUACCCUGGUAGUCCACGCCGUAAACGAUGUCGACUUGGAGGUUGUGCCCUUGAGGCGUGGCUUCCGGAGCUAACGCGUUAAGUCGACCGCCUGGGGAGUACGGCCGCAAGGUUAAAACUCAAAUGAAUUGACGGGGGCCCGCACAAGCGGUGGAGCAUGUGGUUUAAUUCGAUGCAACGCGAAGAACCUUACCUGGUCUUGACAUCCACGGAAGUUUUCAGAGAUGAGAAUGUGCCUUCGGGAACCGUGAGACAGGUGCUGCAUGGCUGUCGUCAGCUCGUGUUGUGAAAUGUUGGGUUAAGUCCCGCAACGAGCGCAACCCUUAUCCUUUGUUGCCAGCGGUCCGGCCGGGAACUCAAAGGAGACUGCCAGUGAUAAACUGGAGGAAGGUGGGGAUGACGUCAAGUCAUCAUGGCCCUUACGACCAGGGCUACACACGUGCUACAAUGGCGCAUACAAAGAGAAGCGACCUCGCGAGAGCAAGCGGACCUCAUAAAGUGCGUCGUAGUCCGGAUUGGAGUCUGCAACUCGACUCCAUGAAGUCGGAAUCGCUAGUAAUCGUGGAUCAGAAUGCCACGGUGAAUACGUUCCCGGGCCUUGUACACACCGCCCGUCACACCAUGGGAGUGGGUUGCAAAAGAAGUAGGUAGCUUAACCUUCGGGAGGGCGCUUACCACUUUGUGAUUCAUGACUGGGGUGAAGUCGUAACAAGGUAACCGUAGGGGAACCUGCGGUUG
rnacentral:rRNA from 1 species